rnacentral:lncRNA from 1 species
AUGUUUAAAGAAUUUACUAGGGUGAUUUGUAUUUUGUCAGUUCUGCAGACACGGCUUUUUUUUUUAAAGACAGGAGCUUUUAAGAUGUACUUCUUGAAGAGUGUACUUUUCCUUACAGUACUUACAAAACUCCUUACAGAAGUGCUGUUUGCGACACUCCGUGAAGUGGAAAAACAAAUUGAGAAGACAAACUCCUUCCCCCAGUUGCUUGGAACAGCUUUGUGUGUCUCAGACUGUCCCGAGGAGCCCCAGGGACAGGUCACAGACCCCAGGGAGCUGCCGGUGCAGGAAGCGGAGCCGGGACGUUGGGAGAGGCAGGAGAGGUGUCGCUGCAACAAAAAUUGGAAUUAUUUUUGUAAACACAAGAUCCUGGUGGUCACUGGAGAGUCAGGGCUGGUCUGAUUUGGAGGAAAAGAAGUUAAAUAAAAAAAAGAAGAACUGUAAGCA